GGAGUGUGUAAGUGUGUGUAAGUGUGUGUAAGUGUGUGUAAGUGUGUGUGUAAGAGGAAGAUCAGCAGUUUUGUGCUCACACUAAUUCUGAGAACUGGACAUUCGGAACACAUUUAGAUGAAUCUUUCAUGAACAGAGAAAUGAAAUCAGUGAAGAAGCUCAUCAUCAUUUACUCUCUAUUUCAAGCAUCUCCAAUCAGACCCUCAAUAACACUGUAUAAGGAGGAUCAGGGGGAGGUGGAGGACCACAAUGAGGUGGUGGAGGGAACUUCACUGAGUCUCAUUUGCUCUGCUCGAUCUCCAUGUCCCUUCAAACCCCCUAUUAUUACA